rnacentral:rRNA from 1 species
UCCUACGGGAGGCAGCAGUGGGGAAUAUUGGACAAUGGGCGCAAGCCUGAUCCAGCCAUACCGCGUGGGUGAAGAAGGCCUUCGGGUUGUAAAGCCCUUUUGUUGGGAAAGAAAAGCCAUGGGUUAAUACCCUGUGGUUCUGACGGUACCCAAAGAAUAAGCACCGGCUAACUUCGUGCCAGCAGCCGCGGUAAU